GACGAACGCUGGCGGCGUGCUUAACACAUGCAAGUCGAACGAUGAAGCUGGAGCUUGCUCUGGCGGAUUAGUGGCGAACGGGUGAGUAACACGUGAGAAAUCUGCCCUUGACUCUGGGAUAACUGCGGGAAACUGUAGCUAAUACCGGAUACUUUCCCUGGUGGGCAUCCACUGGGGAAGAAAGAAUUUCGGUCAAGGAUGAUCUCGCGGCCUAUCAGCUUGUUGGUGAGGUAAUGGCUCACCAAGGCGACGACGGGUAGCCGGCCUGAGAGGGUGCCGAGCGACACUGGGACUGAGACACGGCCCAGACUCCGAAGGGGGGCAGCAGUGGGGAAUAUUGCACAAUGGGCGCAAGCCUGAUGCAGCAACGCCGCGUGAGGGAUGAAGGCCUUCGGGUUGUAAACCUCUUUUAGCAGGGAAGAAGCGGAAGUGACGGUACCUGCAGAAAAAGCACCGGCUAACUACGUGCCAGAAGCCGCCGCCG
rnacentral:rRNA from 1 species